UGAGGGAAAGGUGAAAAGAACCCCGGGAGGGGAGUGAAAUAGAACCUGAAACCGUGUGCCUACAACCGGUCAAAGCCCCUUAUGAGGGUGAUGACGUGCUUUUUGUAGAACGAGCCAACGAGUUACGGUAUGUAGCAAGGUUAAGUACUUAAGGUACGGAGCCGAAGGGAAACCGAGUCUUAAUAGGGCGACUAGUUGCAUGCCGUAGACCCGAAACCGGGUGACCUAUCCAUGGCCAGGUUGAAGCGAGGGUAAAACUUCGUGGAGGACCGAACCACGUUGCUGUUGAAAAAGCAUGGGAUGAGCUGUGGAUAGCGGAGAAAUUCCAAUCGAACUCGGAGAUAGCUGGUUCUCCCCGAAAUAGCUUUAGGGCUAGCGUCGGAUAUGUGUAGUGGAGGUAGAGCACUGAAUGGGCUAGGGGGCAUAUCGCUUACCGAACCUUAUCAAACUCCGAAUGCCAUAUACAUUAAGUCCGGCAGUCAGACUACGAAUGAUAAGAUCCGUGGUCAAAAGGGAAACAGCCCAGACCGUCAGCUAAGGUCCCAAAGUGUAAGUUAAGUGGAAAAGGAUGUGGGAUUUCUAAGACAACUAGGAUGUUGGCUUAGAAGCAGCCACUCAUUUAAAGAGUGCGUAAUAGCUCACUAGUCGAGAGAUCCUGCGCCGAAAAUGUACCGGGGCUAAACUUACCACCGAAGCUACGGAUUUGCAAGUAAUUGCAAGUGGUAGGGGAGCGUCGUAAUCGGGCUGAAGUCGUACCGGAAGGAGCGGUGGACUGAUUACGAGUGAGAAUGUUGGCAUUAGUAGCGAGAUGUAGGUGAGAAUCCUACAGGCCGAAUAUCUAAGGUUUCCUCAGGAAGGCUCGUCCGCUGAGGGUUAGUCGGGACCUAAGCCGAGGCCGAAAGGCGUAGGCGAUGGACAAUCGGUUGAUAUUCCGAUACCACUACCAUCGUUAUUAUCGAGGGUGUGACGGAGAAGGAUAGUGUGUGCUAGCGAUUGGAAAUGCUAGUCUAAGCGUUUAGGGAGUUACGGUAGGCAAAUCCGCUGUAACAAUUCUGAGGCGUGAUGGGGAAGGUCAUUAAGACCGAAGUACAUGAUUCCAUGCUUCCAAGAAAAGCAUCUAGAGAGAGAAGUAGUGCCCGUACCGCAAACCGACACAGGUAGAUGAGGAGAGAAUCCUAAGGCCGGCGGAAGAAUUGCAGUUAAGGAACUAGGCAAAUUGACCCCGUAAGUUCGCGAGAAGGGGUGCCUGCGAGAGCAGGCCGCAGAGAAUAGGCCCAAGCAACUGUUUAGCAAAAACACAGGUCUCUGCUAAAGCGUAAGCUGAUGUAUAGGGGCUGACGCCUGCCCGGUGCUGGAAGGUUAAGGGGAACACUUAGCGCAAGCGAAGGUGUGAACUUAAGCCCCAGUAAACGGCGGCCGUAACUAUAACGGUCCUAAGGUAGCGAAAUUCCUUGUCAGGUAAGUUCUGACCCGCACGAAUGGCGUAAUGACUUGGGCACUGUCUCAACUGCAAAUCCGGCGAAGUUGUAGUGCGAGUGAAGAUGCUCGCUACCCGCGAUUGGACGGAAAGACCCCGUAGAGCUUUACUGUAGCUUAGCAUUGAAUUCCGGUAUUGUCUGUACAGGAUAGGUGGGAGACUGGGAAACUAGGGCGUCAGCCUUAGUGGAGUCAACCUUGGGAUACCACCCUGACAGUACUGGGGUUCUAACAGGACGCCAUGAAGCUGGUGACUGGACAUUGUUAGGUGGGCAGUUUGACUGGGGCGGUCGCCUCCUAAAAAGUAACGGAGGCGCCCAAAGGUUCCCUCAGAACGGUCGGAAAUCGUUCGUAGAGUGCAAAGGCAGAAGGGAGCCUGACUGCGAGACCUACAAGUCGAGCAGGGACGAAAGUCGGGCUUAGUGAUCCGGUGGUACCUCGUGGGAGGGCCAUCGCUCAACGGAUAAAAGCUACCUCGGGGAUAACAGGCUGAUCUCCCCCAAGAGUCCACAUCGACGGGGAGGUUUGGCAC
rnacentral:rRNA from 1 species